CCAGAACCAUCGCUUUCACCAAGUCCUGCAUCUCCUGGCUGAAGGUCUUCUCCUCUCACUCCGCAGGCUUACCGCGACCUCCUCCGCGGAACCCCUUCUGUCUAGAACUCAGCGAAUCUCCGGUUCCACAACAUGAGGAAAUACUUUGCACUUCUGUUAGGUGCUACCCUGCUCUUAUCCAUGGGAGAGCCUGCAGUGGUCACUGG